AUACGGAGGCUGCAAGCGUUAUCCGGAAUCAUUGGGUUUAAAGGGUCCGUAGGCGGACUAUUAAGUCAGAGGUGAAAUCCCACAGCUCAACUGUGGAACUGCCUUUGAUACUGGUAGUCUUGAGUUAUAUGGAAGUAGAUAGAAUGUGUAGUGUAGCGGUGAAAUGCAUAGAUAUUACACAGAAUACCGAUUGCGAAGGCAGUCUACUACGUAUAUACUGACGCUAAGGGACGAAAGCGUGGGGAGCGAACAGGAUUAGAAACCCUAGUAGUCC
rnacentral:rRNA from 1 species